GAGCUAGCCGUGGAAGGUGGGACAGAUUCUUGGGGUGAAGUCGUAUCAAGGUAGACGUAUCGGAAGGUGCGGCUGGAUCACCUCCUUUCUAAGGA
rnacentral:rRNA from 1 species